GAUGAACGCUGGCGGCGUGCCUAAUACAUGCAAGUCGAGCGAACGGACGAGAAGCUUGCUUCUCUGAUGUUAGCGGCGGACGGGUGAGUAACACGUGGAUAACCUACCUAUAAGACUGGGAUAACUUCGGGAAACCGGAGCUAAUACCGGAUAAUAUUUUGAACCGCAUGGUUCAAAAGUGAAGGACGGUCUUGCUGUCACUUAUAGAUGGAUCCGCGCUGCAUUAGCUAGUUGGUAAGGUAACGGCUUACCAAGGCAACGAUGCAUAGCCGACCUGAGAGGGUGAUCGGCCACACUGGAACUGAGACACGGUCCAGACUCCUACGGGAGGCAGCAGUAGGGAAUCUUCCGCAAUGGGCGAAAGCCUGACGGAGCAACGCCGCGUGAGUGAUGAAGGUCUUCGGAUCGUAAAACUCUGUUAUUAGGGAAGAACAUAUGUGUAAGUAACUGUGCACAUCUUGACGGUACCUAAUCAGAAAGCCACGGCUAACUACGUGCCAGCAGCCGCGGUAAUACGUAGGUGGCAAGCGUUAUCCGGAAUUAUUGGGCGUAAAGCGCGCGUAGGCGGUUUUUUAAGUCUGAUGUGAAAGCCCACGGCUCAACCGUGGAGGGUCAUUGGAAACUGGAAAACUUGAGUGCAGAAGAGGAAAGUGGAAUUCCAUGUGUAGCGGUGAAAUGCGCAGAGAUAUGGAGGAACACCAGUGGCGAAGGCGACUUUCUGGUCUGUAACUGACGCUGAUGUGCGAAAGCGUGGGGAUCAAACAGGAUUAGAUACCCUGGUAGUCCACGCCGUAAACGAUGAGUGCUAAGUGUUAGGGGGUUUCCGCCCCUUAGUGCUGCAGCUAACGCAUUAAGCACUCCGCCUGGGGAGUACGACCGCAAGGUUGAAACUCAAAGGAAUUGGCGGGGACCCGCACAAGCGGUGGAGCAUGUGGUUUAAUUCGAAGCAACGCGAAGAACCUUACCAAAUCUUGACAUCCUUUGACAACUCUAGAGAUAGAGCCUUCCCCUUCGGGGGACAAAGUGACAGGUGGUGCAUGGUUGUCGUCAGCUCGUGUCGUGAGAUGUUGGGUUAAGUCCCGCAACGAGCGCAACCCUUAAGCUUAGUUGCCAUCAUUAAGUUGGGCACUCUAAGUUGACUGCCGGUGACAAACCGGAGGAAGGUGGGGAUGACGUCAAAUCAUCAUGCCCCUUAUGAUUUGGGCUACACACGUGCUACAAUGGACAAUACAAAGGGCAGCGAAACCGCGAGGUCAAGCAAAUCCCAUAAAGUUGUUCUCAGUUCGGAUUGUAGUCUGCAACUCGACUACAUGAAGCUGGAAUCGCUAGUAAUCGUAGAUCAGCAUGCUACGGUGAAUACGUUCCCGGGUCU
rnacentral:rRNA from 1 species